AGUGAACGCUGGCGGUAGGCCUAACACAUGCAAGUCGAACGGCAGCACAGUAAGAGCUUGCUCUUACGGGUGGCGAGUGGCGGACGGGUGAGGAAUACAUCGGAAUCUACUUUUUCGUGGGGGAUAACGUAGGGAAACUUACGCUAAUACCGCAUACGACCUACGGGUGAAAGCAGGGGAUCUUCGGACCUUGCGCGAUUGAAUGAGCCGAUGUCGGAUUAGCUAGUUGGCGGGGUAAAGGCCCACCAAGGCGACGAUCCGUAGCUGGUCUGAGAGGAUGAGCAGCCACAAGGGAACUAGAUCAGGGGCCGGACUCCUACGGGAGACAGCCGUGGGGAAUAGGGGACAAUGGGCGCAAGCCUGAACCAGCCAUACCGAGGGAGUGAAGACGGCCUUCGGGUUCUCAAGCCCUUUUGUUGGGAAAGAAAAGCAGCAGGUGGAUACCCCGCUGUUCUGACGGGGCCCAAAGAAUAAGCAGAGCCUACCUUCGUG
rnacentral:rRNA from 1 species